rnacentral:rRNA from 1 species
ACUAGGGAUCGGGCGAUGUUAUCUUUUUGACUCGCUCGGAUCUUACGAGAAAUCAAGGUCUUUGGGUACUGGGGGGAGUAUGGUCGCAAGGCUGAAACUUAAAGAAAUUGACGGAAGGGCACCACCAGGAGUGGAGCCUGCGGGUUAAUUUGACUCAACACGGGGAAACUCACCAGGUCCAGACACAAUAAGGAUUGACAGAUUGAGAGCUCUUUCUUGAUUUUAUG